rnacentral:rRNA from 1 species
GGAUUAGAUACCCUGGUAGUCCUAGCCGUAAACGAUGGACACUAGUUGCUGGAAGAGUCAAUCCUUUCAGUGACGAAGCUAACGCAUUAAGUGUCCCGCCUGGGGAGUACGCUCGCAAGGGUGAAACUCAAAGGAAUUGACGGGGGCCCGCACAAGCGGUGGAGCAUGUGCUUUAAUUCGAUGCAACGCGAAGAACCUUACCUGGGUUUGACAUGGGAGUGAAACUCUUCAGAGAUGAGGAGCCUUCCUUCGGGAACACUCCACACAGGUGCUGCAUGGUUGUCGUCAGCUCGUGCUG